rnacentral:rRNA from 1 species
UACGGAGGGAGCUAGCGUUGUUCGGAAUUACUGGGCGUAAAGCGCGCGUAGGCGGCUUUGUAAGUCAGAGGUGAAAUCCCGGAGCUCAACUCCGGAACUGCCUUUGAGACUGCAUCGCUUGAAUCCGGGAGAGGUGAGUGGAAUUCCGAGUGUAGAGGUGAAAUUCGUAGAUAUUCGGAAGAACACCAGUGGCGAAGGCGGCUCACUGGACCGGUAUUGACGCUGAGGAGCGAAAGCGUGGGGAGCAAACAGG